AUUGAACGCUGGCGGCAUGCUUUACACAUGCAAGUCGAACGGCAGCACGGGGCGAACCCUCGGUGGCGAGUGGCGAACGGGUGGAGUAAUGCAUCGGAACAUACCCACGUCGUGGGGGAGUAACGUAGCGAAAGUUACGCUAAUACCGCAUACGUCCUGAGGGAGAAAGCGGGGAUCGCAAGACCUCGCGCGAUUGGAGUGGCCGAUGUCAGAUUAGCUAGUUGGUGGGGUAAAGGCCCACCAAGGCGACGAUCUGUAGCGGGUCUGAGAGGAUGAUCCGCCACACUGGGACUGAGACACGGCCCAGACUCCUACGGGAGGCAGCAGUUGGGGAAUUUUGGACAAUGGGGGAAACCCGUGAUCCAGCCAUGCCGCGUGCGGAAGAAGGCCUCGGUGUAACGCUUCG
rnacentral:rRNA from 1 species